rnacentral:rRNA from 1 species
GCAUGCCUGUUCGAGCGUCAUUUCAACCCUCAAGCUCUGCUUGGUGUUGGGGCCCUACAGCUGAUGUAGGCCCUCAAAGGUAGUGGCGGACCCUCCCGGAGCCUCCUUUGCGUAGUAACUUUACGUCUCGCACUGGGAUCCGGAGGGACUCUUGCCGUAAAACCCCCCAAUUUUCCAAAGGUUGACCUCGGAUCAGGUAGGAAUACCCGCUGAACUUAAGCAUAUCAAUAAGCGGAGGAAAAGAAACCAACAGGGAUUGCCUCAGUAACGGCGAGUGAAGCGGCAACAGCUCAAAUUUGAAAUCUNGNCCCUAGGCCCGAGUUGUAAUUUGCAGAGGAUGCUUUUGGUGCGGUGCCUUCCAAGUUCCCUAGAACGGGACGCCAGAGAGGGUGAGAGCCCCGUACAGUUGGACACCAAGCCUUUGUAAAGCUCCUUCGACGAGUCGAGUAGUUUGGGAAUGCUGCUCAAAAUGGGAGGUAUAUUUCUUCUAAAGCUAAAUACCGGCCAGAGACCGAUAGCGCACAAGUAGAGUGAUCGAAAGAUGAAAAGCACUUUGAAAAGAGGGUUAAACAGCACGUGAAAUUGUUAAAAGGGAAGCGCUUGUGACCAGACUUGCGUCCGGUGAAUCACCCAGCUCUCGCGGCUGGGGCACUUCGCCGGCUCAGGCCAGCAUCAGCUCGCUGUCGGGGACAAAAGCUUCAGGAACGUAGCUCUCUUCGGGGAGUGUUAUAGCCUGUUGCAUAAUACCUUCGGCGGGCUGAGGUACGCCGUCCGCAAGGAUGCUGGCAUAAUGGUCAUCAGCGACCCGUCUUGAAACACGGACCAAGGAGUCAACCUUAUGUGCGAGUGUUCGGGUGUUAAACCCCUACGCGUAAUGAAAGU